rnacentral:rRNA from 1 species
UACGGAGGGUGCGAGCGUUAUUCGGAUUUAUUGGGCGUAAAGGGCGCGUAGGCGGCUUUUUAAGUCAGAUGUGAAAGCCCGGGGCUUAACCCCGGAAGUGCAUUUGAAACUGAGAGGCUUGAGUAUGGGAGAGGGAAGUGGAAUUCCUGGUGUAGAGGUGAAAUUCGUAGAGAUCAGGAGGAACACCGGUGGCGAAGGCGACUUCCUGGACCAAUACUGACGCUGAGGCGCGAAGGAGUGGGGAGCAAACAGG